GCUGGAGACGACGCCCUCUCGGCACAGGACCCUCGCCGGGAUGCUGCUGGGGACGUCGUUCAGCGUGGCCGUGGUCCUGUUCGCGGGCGCCGGCUACCUCGUCAGGACGUGGCGGUGGCUCCUCCUGGCGGGCUCGGCGCCGCUGCUCGUCGUGAUGCCCUUGGCCUUCCUAGUCUCCGAGUCUCCCCGGUGGCUUAGUCAGCAGGGACGAGGUCACGAGGCGGGGGUCAUCUUGGGUCACGCCGCCGCCAAGAACCGCGUCCAGCUCUCGCCUGCCCUGACCUCCGCCCUCCGUGAUCUGCAGGAGGAGGAGGUCAUAGAGAAGCCACAGAGGUCACAGACAGCGGACAUGACCUGGGGAAAGAGGGCACGGGCGAAGCUACACCAAAUAACGGCUUAUCUGCGUUUUCCUGCGUUAAGACGUAUUAUUGUGGCCACGACAGGUAUUUGGUAUCUACAAGGUAUCCUCUACUUGGGUAUCAUCCUCAACGCUAAUAAUUUCACGAGCAACGACCCUUAUAUCUACGUGGCCAUGUCUGGGACGAUGGACCUCAUAGCCAUCCUCAUAGCCACGCCCCUGAACAUGCGGAUGGGGCGUCGGUUUAUCGUGGGCGGGGCUCUUCUGGUGGCGGGCGUCCUCCUGCUGGUGGAUCUCGCGGUUCCCGAGGAAUUCAUGUGGAUACGGUGGGUCCUUGUGAUGACGUCACUGCUCCUUAUCGCUGCCGUCUUCCAGGUGAACUUCAUGUACGUGCCAGAGCUGUACCCAACCGUCAUCAGGUCUCGAGGCUUCGCACUGGCCAGCCUCGCGGGGAGUUUUGGGUUCCUGACGGCGCCCUUCAUCACAGACGUUCUGGCGCAGAAGACGUGGUGGGCGGUCGGCGCCACUUUCGGCUCGGCAGGAAUUCUGGGGAGCCUCUUGGUGCCCCUUUUGCCCGAAACAAACAACAUGCCUCUCCCGGACACGAUCGAGGACGUCGAAAGGAGGCGGGAGGGCAUCAGGGCGGCCAAGAAGGGCAAGACGAGAGAAGAUGAAGCCGAGGAAAUGCCCGCCAUCGGUCCUGCUGAGGAGGCUUAAUUUAAGACUUUAGGCGUCGGUGUCAUCAGCUGAUCAUGGUGUCGGUGUCAUCAGCUGAUCAUGGUGUCGGUGGCAUCAGCUGAUCAUGACGUCGGUGGCAUCAGCUGAUCGUGGCAUCAGUGGCAUCAGCUGAUCGUGGCGUCGGUGGCAUCAGCUGCUCAUAACGUCGGUGGUAUCAGCUGAUCGUGGCGUCGGUGGCGUCAGCUGAUUAUAUUGUCUCGGCGGCAUCAGCUGGAAGAUGCGGUGGCCGUCAACUGAUUAAACUGUGAUGUUUAUUAUUAAUCUGUCAUUAUUAUUUAGUUGUAUCCCUGGUUUAUAAAUAAAGUUCAAUUGUUUU
rnacentral:misc_RNA from 1 species